GUCCAGCCGCAAAACUCCAUGGGUCGUCCGACCUGUCCGUCGUCGCCACCACGGAACGCGCUCGCGCUGCCUUCCUCUGACGUCCUCCACCUCGCCCUCCCCCGACGUCCUCCACCUCGCCUGCCCCCGACACCCUCCUCCUCCGCCGGCGCUCCCCCUCCUCUCCGACUCCUCCUCCGUCGCGACGCCGGGGCGCUCCCCCUCUUCUCCGACUCCUCCUCCGCGCAGAUCCUUCGCCGCCACCAACCACGCCCCCUCCUCCACUGCACCGCCAGGGCGCAAGGCGCUGGCGGAUCGAGCCGGUGGAGUCCAUCCGCGUCGAUCGCCGCCACCAAACCCGCCCCCCUCCUCCGCGCAGAUCCUCCGCCGCCACCAACCGCCGGCCUCCCCUCCCCUCGCCCUCCACCUCGCCCUCCCCCGACGCCCUCCACCUCGCCCUUCCCUCUGGUUAAUUACGCAGCUCAUCUCCUCAUCAUGUAAGCUAACUAACCUUUUGAAUUUGUGUUUGAUCAGUGCGAUGCUGGCCAAGACAGACGGGUGCGGCGAGGCACACAUUGUUCUAUGCCGCGUGCUGAUGGGCCGGCCGGAGGUUUUCCAGGCAGGGUCCUCGCAGUCCUGCCCCAGCGGCGACACGCCUACGACAAGGCCGUCGACCGGCUGCCGCCGCCGGCUGCUCCCAUGAGUUCCUACUCCAUCCACCCAUCCUGUCGAUUACUAUGUCAUCAUAGAUUCUUAUAUGUUAGCUUUUCUUUUUCUUUGGUUACGCGAGCGGCUGGGGCUUGGCACGAGUCGCGAGAUUCAUCUCCGUGAUAAAAUUUUGUUCCUCGCCAUUGUCCCAUUCUUCAUCCUCAACUUUGCUGCUACUAAUCAGUCCAUGAUGCGUGUGGUGGGCUGGUGCCCGAGGGCUCACAACGUGUUUGAUGAUUUGUUUCUUAGGUGCUGUGACCUGCCUUAGGAGUGAUGCCUGCGAGAGUGGAAAUAAAAACAUUCUGCUCCAAAUUGUGGCUCAUUAGUUUUAGAAAAAAAAAUUAUGCCUUUUCUUGGCAGGAGUUUGAUUCUUCUGUGUUCUGUCCUGAUAUCAGUAGCUUGCAUAAUGAAUCCAAGUCAGGGGAGAAUUGUAAAGUAGAGUAUGCUAAGGUCUUCAAUUUAAUUGCCUUUUGUUUUGCAAGAGCAAAGUCAAACAGUCUAUUCAUAAUCGUUUGUCACUGUCUGUCAAGUUAUGCAUCUGUAUCUUACAUGGUUCACAUGUGGAUGCUGAGUGCAUUUCUAAUUGGGGAUAUUGGUAAUGUUGUCAUGCUUUUCUGUUGCUUGAGUAUGCACGAGUCCAGCUUUGCCUUUCUGGUUCUGAAUCUGAUUGUCUCCCUUGAAACAGCUCCACAAUGAAGAUAGCAUGGGGGUACGACUGCCAAGAUGAAUGGACAGCCGGUGGUAAUGUCAACUAAACCAGACCUACCAUUUGGAGUUGAGAGUGACAAUGAUGAGGCUGAAAAGGAGGAAGAAGCAGUGCCAAAUACAAACUGUCCUGGAACAAAGCCUCUUGACACUGCUGAGUCGCUCCAGCCUCAAGGAGAUAAGCCAGCCGAGGCAUCUUAUUUUUCUGUUAGAUCAAUGCCCUACAGAUUUAUUUGAUUGUCGUAGAUGAAAGGCUGACAUGUUUUCUGUCGGUUACAUGCUGGUCCUAUCUCACAUGCCUUUGGAGCUCAAUCUUUUUUUAUUGUUUUCAUGGCCAAACAAUUAAACUGUCUCAGGAACGCCCAUAUGGCAGCUGCUGAUAUCUCUAGCUUUGACAGGCCAUAUAUUUUGGUAUUUGCCCCUAGGACUCUAUGAUGCGACUUUAAUGGGAGUUUCCUGGCACCAAUACGCGACCUUGCUGGUGCUAAUCCUUUAUACUUGUCAUGACAAAGGUUGAUCUCCUUUCUAGAGACAUUGAUUUGAACUGCGUAGGUGAUUGGGUUGUCGAGUCAGCUGUCAAGAAGAAGCUCGACAUCCUUAGUGUUCAUUUGACAAGCUCAAGUCAUUUGUCGGCAUCAUAGGGUUGUAUCAGAGAUUCAGCGGGAAAAGAAGGUCAGCAUGACUGCUUAUUUUUCUGGUUAUUGCAGUUACAUUACCCAUUUCUAGGACAUACUCCAAUUACCGUGCUCAAUUAUAAUGAAUUUACUUUCUUUGCUUGCUUAAUUACCAUGCUGUCUCCACAAAACUUAAUUGACUUGGGUAGAACUGGUCCUGGUACUUGUUUGCUUGAAUCUGCUACUCUCCCAGUUUUUAGAAUUGUUCUGUCACUUGUUUAACAUAGAUUUUUGAGUAUUCUGAACAAAUAAAUACAUUGCUUAUACUAUGCUAAAUAUGAAUAUAUAUAUACCAACAAUGUUGCUCUUUAUUUACACAUUUGAUAUUUUUAUUGGUUUUUAUUUCAUUCAGACUUCAUAGUAUUGUAGUCUUUCUCUUUGGCCAUGCUCCUUUAUGCUAGAAAGUCACAGCUUAUCAGAUUUCUAACUUGGGAUCUUUAAAGUAUGAUUUAAUGGUAAAUACCUGUCCAUUAGACAUGCCAUUAUAUUAGAUGUCAGCAUAAAAUAUAUGUUUUUCUCCCUUCUCCCUUUCAUUCUCUGCAUGCACACUUAUGCUUUUUUUAAAAAAAAUGUUUGUCAAUUGAUGCUGAAAAUUCUCAUUAAUUUGAGAUCUAAAUUUGAGCAAUAAAUUAUGUUUCUUUUGAGAAAGUGUGCAAACUCAUUUCGGUUAACAUUGUGUUGCCAUUCAAAAUUGUGAUGGCACCAAGGUUAAUAAAAGGAAGACAUAAAUAGUUUAUUGGUCAUUUAUUAUGAAGGUCAACCAAUUUCAACUCCAAUGGACAAAUAGACCAAAUAUAUCUAAUUCCGAUCCAGGUUCUUAAUUAGAAUCGUAGAUUUUGUGCUUUCUGGAAAUGUAUGAGGCUGUUAGUUAUAGAGAUCAGAGGUUGCAAGCUUAUUUGCUUUGUGUCUGAAGGAUAUCAAGAGGGAGGAGCACUGAAUAAUGGUGUCCAGAGUGGGAAAAUGAAAUGUAAAUGAUUACCGCGUAUAUACAUCCAGUUUUAACAGUUAAGAAAAGGACAAUAAUAAUUAGUACAAAAGAAUUUCUAUGCAAUAGGAACACCGUUUUGUCAAAUUUCCCUCCCUUCCAUUGCGUUAUUGAUGUUCUAUGUAUUGCACUCUAAAUUUUGCCAUCCGUAGCAAUACGAGGGCACAAUAUGGCCAUUGUUCAACCUCACUAAGCUCUAUAAGCUUGCAAUGCUACUGCUUUCAUGGCAUGGAGUUCAGUCAACAUUAUGAAAACAACUGAAAUUUGGAUAAAAAAAUUAUCUCAUGCGCUCCUUGCAUUCGAUCAUGCAGCAGUGAAUUUAAUGGAAAAAUAUGUGUAUUGCAUAUCUAUAACUGCUUUCGGCCAAUGUAAAAUAUUAUCUUUACCGCAUCGUAACCAAGAUAUGAAAUAUAGUUGGUAGGUUGGAUACUAUGGUGCACAUAGGUUGGUUCAUCUAAUAAUAAAACUAUAUUCUUGAAUUAACUAUUUUCUUGUUAUCAGUAGAUUAUUGUUGAUGCUCUGUGUAUUACAUUGAUAAUACUUUGCUGUCCAUAGCAACGCACGGGCGUGAACCUAGUAUACAACAAAAGUUGCUUAGUGUAGUGGUGAAGGUUUGUAAUCCUUUAGGUCAAGGUUCAAAGCUAACUAGUAGCAAUUUUUAUAGUUUUUACUUCUAAUUAUUUUUUUACCACAAAAAUAUAUCGUUGCAAGUAUACUUUAUUGCCACCAUUUAUAAAAAUAUGGUGGUUAUAACACUUUUAUUACCAUGAUUAUGUUUGUUGUAAUUGUUACCAUUUGUUGCAAAUAUCAACAUACUAUUUUCUACGAUAUUGGUCAUUGCAACUACUAUCUAAUGCAAUGCUUCAUUACAUGGCAAAUACCAUAGCUAUUGCAAUGAAAAAAAACGUGGCCCAAAGUUUUAACCAUGCAAGUACUUGUCACGGCUGCCAACGACCAUCAUGUUGUGGCAAUUGAGAUAUAUUGCCACGAUUUGGCCCUUAUUGCCACAAUUACUCAGCGUUGCAAAAUCCUAAAUUUCUAGUAGUGAGCCCUACCUCCAUAGUGCUUAGAAAUAGGGAGAAAGUGAGGGGUAGUUCGGAGAAGGUGCCGGCCUGUCGGCGCUCUUUCUUCGUCUUGUACCUUGAUAGAUGCUUCUUUCUUUAGUAAGUGUUCGUGAUCUCCUAUGGUGGUGAGUCUCUUACCUCGGAUCAUCGUCCGUUCUUGUGACGGAUGCUCUAGUAGAGGGCUCCUGAUAGAGAUGGGAUAACCCUGAUCGACUCUAGAGCAGUAGUCGACAGCAUAGACGUGGUGUCUAGGCUCUAGAUUACCUUUGUUUGCUGCGAGCCCUACGGUAUUGCGGGGUAGACGGCAGAUGGUGAUAGCCUUGUUCGCCCACUAUGUAGUUGCUUCGUGGUUAGUAAAGUCCACGUUUGGGUUUGGAGUAGGGCUAAUAGACGGAGGUCCUUGGUAGACCAGGGUCAGACCGGUUCCCGAAGUAAGCAAGUAGAGGUUGAGCUUAUCUUUACUAGAAACUCUAAAGCCAUAGAAAUCCUCUCUAUCCUCGCCUUUAUCUCUUGUUUGUCUUUGGACGAACCGGUUAGAAGGCUAGUACCUCCGUUCCUUGUGAAAUAUGAUACCCUUGAAUACUCACGGGUGAAGUGCUACAGCGAUAUCUCCAUGCACUUGUGGAUUAUUCUGUGAACAUUAAGAAAUACCAACAAGCAUUUCUGGCGCCGUUGCUGGGGAAUGGUUGCUGUAUUGCCUUCGAACCUAGUUCGUCCUCGUAUCUUUAUUAAAAAAAAUCAUAUACUUUGUUUUUCUUACCUCUACCUUCACCCCCGUUACCCAGUUUACCCUGGUAUCUUUUGUUUUUCCUUCCCUCUACCUUCACCUCCGCUACCCAUGAAAGGUUAUCCUUGUCCAUACCUUUCGACUAUUCAGGGUGAGUUCUUAGAGCCACAACCCUCUUCUAAGCCUACCGUUGCUUCUGGCUUUGAACUUCACCCUGGUUACAUUGCCUUGGUUUGGGAACAACCCUUCUCUGGAGCCAAAGAUGAAGACCCCUACAAUCAUUUGCAAGAGUUCGAGGAACUGUGUUCAUGUCUGGUUAUCCAAGGCAUAAAACAGGAAACCUUGAGGUGGAAGUUGUUUCCUUUCUCUCUCACAGAGAGGGCGGAGCAAUGGUACAUCCACAACGUGGGAAAUAUGAGUAGUGAUUGGGAAAGGCUCCAAGAUGACUUUUAUCGCUCGUUCCCUCCUUUAUCCUUCACACCUUCUCCAUGGAGUGACAUCCUUGCAUUUGAGCAAUCAGACAAGGAGUCCCUAGGAGCAGCCUGGGUGUUGAUGCCCAUUAUAUCACAUUUUGCCCGUCAACUUCUUGGAAAUAAAUAGAGGUUUGCACCAUGUUCCAUGCAUAUUUUGUUUAUUCUAAUAAAGUGUUACAAGUUUUGGUUGAGUUGUGAAUGCAGGAACAUGUGGAAAAUUUUUUAGGAAAAAUGGGCACAAACCCAAGCCGACCGGCCUCCCCUAGGCCGGCCGGGCUGGCACCUCCUCCAAAUUCCAUGUCAUUGAUCCAGGGCAAAGCAAACGCACUCCAACUAAUCCUGAGCCGUGCAUUUGAAGUCGGUUUGAUCCAAUGACCCGAAAGGCUUGACACAUGCAUUAAGGGGCCCACCUGCAUGCAAGACUUGGGCAAAUACCUAUGAUGCCACCAUUACCAACCUCUAGGAGCAAUCAGGAGCGUCCACGAGAAGGUCGGUUGAGUUUGGCAAGAAUCUUAGGCCGGCCAGCCUAGGAGAGGCUAGCCGGCCUCAUCCUGAAGCCCCACAUGCUCAACUUCGUGUGGAAGUUACUUCAACCGACGUACCUGCGUACAAGACAAGAAACUACCUGAGUACCAACCUUGAAGUAGUAUAAAUAGACCAGCAAACCUCACUUGUAACACACACCAAGAAGUUCUCUAUUCAUUUCACUUUCUAGAGUUAGGUUUAGUAGUCUGAGAGUUAGAGUCAAGUCGGGCUUGUCUCGGGAUUCCGGAGUCAUCAUCAGAAGUCUGGUAUAGCUCUUGUAUCUUUCCCUUUGACAUUUUAUUAAUAUAAGUUAUCUUCUUUAUCUUAUCGAGUCAGAUUUACUUUUUGCAUUUAUUUAUCUUUCCAAGUUAACUUGUGCGCAGAAGUUCUAUCCUCAAGCUUAGGCUUUGUUAUGCUUCUUGAUUUAUCGGGAUCUUACCUCAUCACUAUGGGGCACUACAUAUAUAAGCAUUGGGAGCAAAAGGCUUUGUAAGAGAAGUUGACCCAAGUUUUGUCUGCUCGGGAGAAGACGGAAGAGGAACUUUCUGAACUGCUCGGGUAGGGUCACCAGUUGGAGAAAGAUGCGCAACUCAAAACGGAAGCAGGAAGCGUGUUGUCAAAAAUAUCGGAGGUUACCAGAUCUCUGAGACUACCAUCGAUCCGACAGAAUGGUACCUAUGUUGCCGACCAUUAAUGACUAGUUCGAAGACCAGGAGCAGGGGCACGUGCCAAGACGGAAGAGGUCGUCUACUGGACGCGGUUCAACUAGCGGAGACUCUUGGAAAAGAUGGACUAAAAAGGCGGGUUUUCUCGUCCGGACUAGAGAGCUCAAGUCAGGUCCCUAGGUUGAGGGGAAUUUCUCUUGAAGGCCUCAAGAGAAAUCCUAACACCGAGUGCAAACGUGGUGUCUGGCUUAGUGUUAGCUAGUAAGUGUGUUCCAGCCCACAGAACAGCGUAGUAGGCGGCAGGUGGUGAUAGUCCUGUCCGUCCCUUAUAGUCCAUCACGUUCGGGUGUUUUCAUAAAAGAGCUAAUGCUAUAUGAGUUAAUGGCAAAAGAGCUUAGCGUUGCGCUUGGCUUUAGUAAAAAGUGUUUGCUAGAUCCUAAUGCUCUCAUAAAAGACCAUCAACUGAUCGCACAACCUGGUAGAAUGAUAUUUCUAAAGAGCCUGUUAGCAGCAAAAACAGUAGAGUGUCAAUCCAUAAUCCUACGCUUAGACAGCUAGAAAAAAUGGCUCUGCAUGGUUGUCCACCCGCGCUCCGACCUGUGCCUCUGUAGUCUCCCCGAGCUGCAGUGUCUUUUAACUAUGGCCAAAAAGAUAAAGUUCUCUCCCAUCAUGAGCAUGUUGGCUCAUUGGCAAAAGAUGAUCGCGGGCAAAAGCUCCAUCGACAUAACCUCCUUGGUUACGCGCAUUGCUACGCAUAUCGGUGCGUUGCAUAAUGCCCAAGUCACUUACCUACCUUUGAUGGAAGUGUACCAAUACCGAGUAGGCCUAGAGCAUUUUGUGCAGGGACAUAUGAUGCGCGAGGGGCUAGGUAACUCUCUCAUCAUGUGUUAACCCGAGUAUGACAGAGAAAUCGAGCUCCCAUGCCCGAAACUAUCUCUCUACUCGGUCAAGCGACUACUCUUAUAGAUGGAGAAGAAGGAGCCUGCACGUCGUAGUGUUGCCGGUCCGGUGACAUGAGGGCGGGUUCGGCUCAGUACCCAGCAGGAGCAGGCAGGACCAUCACACCAGGCAGGUACUUCCCAGCAACAGGGCCCCACAGCACAAAUGAACUUCGAGGAGACCUACGAGCACUACACUGAAGGUGGCUCGAGUGCCGCCGGAGGCAGCACCAAGUAUGGCGACGAUCAAGAACCCUACUACCCGCCAGGUAUGCAUAGUUCUUAUGGUCCGCAGGUGGGUCCUCAAGCUCGACACGAUACGGUUAUGAGAAUCUGAUCAUGCGGGGGAUCAUGAACCUUACGACCCAGGUCAACAACCUGGGCCAGCAACAAGACCAAAUCAGUUAGGACCUCGCACACAACACCGACCUCACCCAGCAAACCUGGGGGAUGAACACUUCCAUGCUCCACGACAUUUUCGGCGUCUUCACCCGUCUGGGCCUUGGCUCCAACCAGCAGCAUCAGCCGCCACAACAACACAACCCGCAAUAGUACCACCCGUAUCCGCAGCGGUACCACCCGAAUCCGCAGCGGUACCACCCGUACCAGCAGCAGCACCAUGACCCCAUUCGGCAGAACUGAGCUUCAUCUAAGCUUGGGGGUGUAUCCAGGUAAGUCGUCUGACAUGUCUGUUCGUUCCAAGAAACGCCAUGCCUCAAUGAAAAAGAAAAGAAGAAAAUAAUAAUAAUAACAACAAUAAUAAUAAUAUCUAAAAAAAUGUUUCAUGCUUCAAAUAAAAGAAACUCCCAACUUAUAUGUGUGGAAAUCCAUGUGAACUCUACUUUCGGAAAUGAUGAAUAGUUGCUCUGUUCAUGCUCUGCAAGUGCCUCGUACAUAACUUUUUACUCUCCUAGUACUUGAUCUUGUUGGGAGCAUGAGCUUGAUUUCCAAGUCUAAGUUGUUGGGAAAUUUGAGAUAGUGAAGCCAGAGUAAAACUGCAUGCUCUAGUAAGGAACCUCUCGGAAUUUCUUUAAAAUAAAUCAUAGUAAAGAAAUCCCCUUUGGUUUACAUGUCCUAUCCAGAGCCAUAAAGUUUUACUUCUUGAGCUAUAAUAUGCUAUCUUGAGUUGCUUUGAGCUUUGCCGAAUGGAGAGUCCGUUCAAGCAAAGGUACUUGUCAUCUACCGAUCUUUCUCCUUUGCGUACUUAUUGUUCUGCUAGCCUCAAAAAUAUCUGGCUUAGCAAUCACCUACUCCGGGUAUUGAUAUCCACCUUUGCCAGACAAACUCCAUUCAUACCACAGCCCAAAAUCUCCACAGUGAACCUAUCCAUCCAAGAAAGGUCUACUCAAAUAAACACUCCCUCUCAAUAUAUGUUGGCUGUCAUGAGAAUAUGGGUUAUUUUCUUUAAAAAAGAAGAAAAAAACAAGGUAAAAAGAAAGAGGAGAUAAGACCCAUAUCUCUCUACAAUUUCUAAGAAUCAAGAAGUACAAAUAAAAAACCAAAAUUUCCCAAAUGUGAGUCCAUUUUCUCCCUCUCCCCUGAACAUCAUACCUUCCAUAACAUCGGGAUUUGUUCAGGUACCAACCUCUUGCGAACCACUCUUCAGCUCGGCAACAAAGGUAACCAAGGUAUGCAACACUCUUCCUACAUAUAAACUCCACAUAUCAGCCUUAGAAAUAGAAAUAAGAUGGUCAAUCUCCAACCAUGGUGUGGAUUAUACACCUUAAGCGACUUUGAGAGCACCAUUGGGGGAAUCUUGAACCUGUUUUGAAAGCAUGCAAAAAAAACCGAGAAAGGAACCUGAACAGGAAGCAGGAAAACUCUAGUGGAAACUGUUCAGUCUCUCAACCGCUCAAGACCAGGGAUGAAAUGCGAAUAAGCCCCACACUCUGAACCAAGGUACGAGCUAGCAUUUUCAAAGUACAUAAGGGUUAGAGUAAUAUGUUGUGCACAAGGUACCUGCAGGGUGUGAACAUCGAUGCAACUUCUGAUCCGUCAAGCCUAGAUUUUAGCCUUGCUCGAGGACGAGCAAGAGUUUAAGCUUCGGGGUGUGUUGACGGCCAUUAUAUCACAUUUUGCCCGUCAACUUCUCAGAAAUAAACAGAGCUUUGCACCAUGUUCCAUGCAUAUAUUGUUUAUUC